CUUAUAUGGGCCUGCUCCAUCAGGGGAAGCCGAUACGUUGGGCUAACCCAAUGACACCAAUUUCUUGUUUAACCGAUUAGGGUUUUUUCAUUAUCCGGCGCCGAAUCAGCAUCCCACCCCUUUCAAUAUAAAUAUGUAUUCUCCAUCUAGGGCAUUGCCGCUUAACAAAGUUAGCUUGUUGAUUUCGGCUAUUUGAAAUUUUCCUUCCCAUCUUCCCUUCUCGAAUGAGAAAUGAUUUAGAUGUUUACACCUCGGGACCACCAGACUAUCCUUGAAAACAUGUUGGUAGAAUCGGUGGGACCUUCUCGGCGUGCUGGGACUUUCACAACAAAAUUUCGCAAUAAAAUGCAUUUGCAAAAGCUGCUCCAGAGCUGUUUUUGUGAAACAGAAUCUUGAGCAGCUCUGUAAAUGCAUUAUAAUGUGAAGUUUUUCAAAAGCAUCUGCUCAGUCGCAUGGAUUCAUUUGUCGUGCCGAUCCAAAAGUUCUUCUGCUAAAGGAGAACCCUGAACCUCAACUACAAACGCUUUGUAACGAGGAGAUAGCAAUGUUGCUGUAUCUCAUCAAUACUCUGCGUGUUGGUAAGGAAUCUUGCACUGGAUUUCAAUUAUUUUAAAAUGUCAUUUGAUGAUGACUGUGUUUCUAUGACGUCAGAGAUUUUCUUGAUUUCUGAAGCCUCUUCAUUCAGUGCUGAAGGAGGGGACAUCCCUUUGUGAAGAUAAUUCAGCGAAAAUUUUAGUCUACCUCCCUUGACAUAAUAAAAAAGGCUGAACCCCUAAAUUUCACUGCACAUUUAGGGGAGUGAAAUGAAAUUUAAAAAACUGAUUAAAAUGACCUUGUUGUUCCUAGUGAAAGAGAACAUAAAAUACUGAAUCAGAUUAUGGCAUCGCAAUCAUGAAAUCCUGUCAACAAGCUUUAUAUAAUGCAUGACCUCUUUUCCUUAAACCCUGGACGGCACUUGCCGCUUUGUCCGUCUGUCUCCUGGGUGAACUGCCUCAUUCCUGUCUUCUCUGUUUGAUGUCCUCUUUGUCUCCAAUCUUCGCAUGAUGCAUGCAAUCAAUUGUUUUUACUGUGUUUUUGUGAAGGGAUUGUUGGGCCAAAUGAUGAAUCUUUCAAUCUGUGGAGAACUCAAACUUAGUUUUGGGUGCGAUGAAUUUUUCACUGAAUAGGAAGAUCUGAUGCCUAGAAUUGAAAUCCUUUCUCAGUAGUUCGUGUCAUUUGUUUAUUUUGAUUGGUGUUAGAUUCAUGUUAUUAUGGUUCAGUUGAUUCUCUCUGUUUUUUUCACUGCCUUUUCAAAACUUCUUUCUUUGAAAAAGUUGAUUCUGGCUCAUUUUGCUUCAUAGCAGCAUAGCCAAUGAUGAAGAUCUUUCUUUUGACUGAAAUGCAGAAUUUUGCAUUUAUUUGUUGAUACUCAACACUAGGACGGUCUGAGGCUAUAACAUUUCAUUUCACUUUUAUUCUCGUCUUUUGUUUUUGCUGUCAAUGAUUGCAUUUGUUUCUUGGAUAAUCUGGAUUACAAUGUGCCGUUGUCUGCAGUCUCGGGGAUGAUGAGAAUUAUAAUUGUAUAGUUAUCCCUGGCUGUCUAGCAGCUGCUGAGAAAUUCUAAUCUGACAUGCAAUCCAUACUCUACUCAAUGUUUUUAAAAUUUUACUCACCACUGAAUCCUUAGAGUUAUCUGCUGAUCGGACUUGGUUUUUUGUUGAUAAUAAACAUAUUUCAACUUAAUUAUGUUGGCACAUGAAUACUAAGGCAGUAUUUGAAAGUUGGAGUAAGAUAUUUUGCAGAGUGCUGUGGAUGAUGAGAAAAACUAUUUUACAGUUAUCCCUGGCUGAUAUAGCAGGUGCUGAAAGUUUGUAAUCUGACACGCACUUCAUUACCCAUGGGUAUUGUUUUUCUUCCUGAUUUAGAAGAGGGGUCUGAGGGAUUGAUGAUUGAAUUGUUGGACAAGAACGUAUAUACAAGACUGAAACAAUAAUAUUGAUAGUUCUUAAACUACUCACCAUGGUAUGUACCAUGGCAAUCCAGAAGCAAUGUCAAGGCUUGAUUAUGAGUUUUCACCCUAUAGUAGGAACACUUUCUAGUGAUGAGGAGGAUCUUCAGUGGUGUAACCAGUUGCUGAAUCUGAUGAUGACGAUGAGUUUGAUGAUGCAGUUUCUGGGCAGGGUCGGGUGACUUUGAUUUGCUGGAAUUGAGUGAAACUGGAGCAGAGUUUUGUCAAUUUGGCAGCCAGGCUUGCAGCAUUCCAUUGUAAUUAUAUAUCUUGCAGGAGCAGAGUUUAUUGUGUUGGUCAUUCUUUCUACCACGGACCAAAGUAUUCACUCUAGCUGCCUUCAAUUUGUGAUGCUGUGUUGUCCAUUUCUGGUCUCUGAUUUUUAUUACUAAUAUGUUGCUAUCUAAGGUUCUGGUGGGUGAGGGUGGGAGUUUGUAAGUUAUUUAUUCACACAUCUGAUUUUUAAUGUGCGUAUUGACCUGUUGGCCAGAAAGGUAAUUGCAGCACUUUUGAGGAUAUAAAUAAGUGAAGUUAGGGGGAUAAAUAA